AUGAUACUCCCUCCGUCCGAAAAUACUCGUCUUAGAAAUGGUUGUAUCUGGACUUAUUUUAGUUAUAGAUACACUCAUUUUAUCCAUUUUUAGGACAAGUAUUUCCGGACGGAGGGAGUAGAUU
rfam:Triticum aestivum genome assembly, contig: Triticum_aestivum_CS42_TGACv1_scaffold_080521_1DS